UACAGAGGGUGCGAGCGUUACUCGGAAUUACUGGGCGUAAAGCGCACGUAGGCGGCUUUGCAAGUCGAGUGUGAAAUCCCCAGGCUUAACCUGGGAACUGCAUUCGAGACUGCAUAGCUAGAGUAUGGGAGAGGGAAGUGGAAUUUCAGGUGUAGCGGUGAAAUGCGUAGAUAUCUGAAGGAACAUCAGUGGCGAAAGCGACUUCCUGGACCAAUACUGACGCUCAUGUGCGAAAGCGUGGGGAGCAAACAGG
rnacentral:rRNA from 1 species